GCGGGUGUAGCUCAAUGGUAGAGCUCCUGGUUCCCAACCAGAUUACGAGGGUUCGAUUCCCUUCACCCGCUCCA
rnacentral:tRNA from 1 species